AUUGAACGCUGGCGGCAGGCCUAACACAUGCAAGUCGAGCGGAUGAAGGGAGCUUGCUCCUGGAUUCAGCGGCGGACGGGUGAGUAAUGCCUAGGAAUCUGCCUGGUAGUGGGGGAUAACGUCCGGAAACGGGCGCUAAUACCGCAUACGUCCUGAGGGAGAAAGUGGGGGAUCUUCGGACCUCACGCUAUCAGAUGAGCCUAGGUCGGAUUAGCUAGUUGUUGGGGUAAAGGCCUACCAAGGCGACGAUCCGUAACUGGUCUGAGAGGAUGAUCAGUCACACUGGAACUGAGACACGGACCAGACUCCUACGGGAGGCAGCAGUGGGGAAUAUUGGACAAUGGGAGAAAGCCUGAUCAAGCCAUGCCGCGUGUGUGAAGAAGGUCUUCGGAUUGUAAAGCACUUUAAGUUGGGAGGAAGGGCAGUAAGUUAAUACCUUGCUGUUUUGACGUUACCAACAGAAUAAGCACCGGCUAACUUCGUG
rnacentral:rRNA from 1 species